rnacentral:rRNA from 1 species
UUCCUACGGGGGGCAGCAGUGGGGAAUAUUGGACAAUGGGCGAAAGCCUGAUCCAGCCAUGCCGCGUGAGUGAUGAAGGCCCUAGGGUUGUAAAGCUCUUUCGCCAGGGACGAUAAUGACGGUACCUGGAUAAGAAGCCCCGGCUAACUUCGUGCCAGCAGCCGCGGUAAUACGAAGGGGGCUAGCGUUGUUCGGAUUUACUGGGCGUAAAGCGCACGUAGGCGGAUUUUUAAGUCAGGGGUGAAAUCCCAAGGCUCAACCUUGGAACUGCCUUUGAUACUGGAAGUCUCGAGUCCGGGAGAGGUGAGUGGAACUGCGAGUGUAGAGGUGAAAUUCGUAGAUAUUCGCAAGAACACCAGUGGCGAAGGCGGCUCACUGGCCCGGAACUGACGCUGAGGUGCGAAAGCGUGGGGAGCAAACAGGAUUAGAUACCCUUGUAGUCGG